rnacentral:rRNA from 1 species
UACGAAGGGGGCUAGCGUUGCUCGGAAUCACUGGGCGUAAAGGGUGCGUAGGCGGGUUAUUAAGUCAGAGGUGAAAUCCUGGAGCUCAACUCCAGAACUGCCUUUGAUACUGGAGAGCUUGAGUCCGGGAGAGGUGAGUGGAACUGCGAGUGUAGAGGUGAAAUUCGUAGAUAUUCGCAAGAACACCAGUGGCGAAGGCGGCUCACUGGCCCGGUACUGACGCUGAGGUGCGAAAGCGUGGGGAGCAAACAGG